ensembl:lncRNA
AUAUUAGACAAGUGAAAGUUUAUUUGUGAAAACAGUAAUGUAGCCUACAUGUUGGGUGAGGAUCGUGUUUACCACAUGUUUACUUUCUCACUUCUCCUUUUUUACAUUUGAAGUUAUUUUCUGUUUCUCCUUCCUUCCGCCACAUCUGUCUUUCUCCUCCUCUCUUUUACUGUCAGUUCUGGUUUGCCCAUCUCUGCGUGUACUUCAAGGUCUUCUUACUGAUGCUUCAAGAUGAACACAACAGUUGAGGCCAUUACUGAAGGCUUUAACACAACUAAGUUUGACAACGUGUCCCACAGCAAGCCUGAUCUCAGACCAGUGAAAACACCUAACUCACCUAACACAGCAUCUCGACCUGAUUGGAUACUCUACACAGUUCCUGCAUCAGCCUUUCUGAUUGGGAUUGUUCUGUUUACGUACGUCUGCAAAACACAACGACGCAGAAAUGCACCUGCAAUGCAGAAGACAAACACAAAUGGACACUUUGCCACUUACACCGACUUUGGGUUCACUAAGAGCGCUACUCAGAGACAUAUGGAGACCAAUAAAAACAACAAGAAGGAUGACACGCAGUCCUAUGAGAAUGUAGAAGCAGCUAUCUACAGCAAUCAAGACAAAGUCACAUAUUAUGUUUCUGCAGAUGAAGAUUAUCUUAACCCGGAUGCAAUGGGGGAAGAGGAAGUGGCAGGGCCAGAAAAACUUCACAACAACACUCUACAACUACCUAGCAAUUUGACCGAUACGGAUGGAGAGUCAUAUGAGAACAUGGAGGGGUGUUUAUAUGCUCUGCCUCGCAAACAAACACAGCAACUCCAGGACGCCGCUGAAGAUGACGACUAUAUCAAUCCUGAUGAAGAUAGAAAACAAGAUCUCGCUCUGGACCAAACAGACACUGAGUCGUAUGAAAUUAUGGUUGGAUCAGACUGUCCUGUGUACACGACCCAUGACACCACGGAGGAUGAUUCAUAUGAACAGAUGAACGGAAUCCCAGUCCUGAUCUAGAAAGAAAUGGAUGGAAGAAGAGAGGGUGAAUGAAAGAGAUGCAGAGAAACAGACAACUGCAGUAAAACUGCAAUUUUUAAAGAGAGACAAAAGAGAAAAACUGAGUUUCUUUUUAAGAUUAAGACCUAGCAGCUACAGGAUGCGUAAUAGUUAUUUGUUAUUUUUACAAAUAAGUACUGAAAUCAAAAUAGACUGUUUAAUUUCUUUAAUAAUUUUUGUGUGCAUUGUUUUUUUUUGUCUCUCUCUCUCACAUAACCAAAGGCACACAGACCAAAAACAUAAAUCAAAUUUCACUAUGCAAUCAAAUCAAAUCCUGUAUUCAGUCCCCCGAUGAAUAUUUCACUAGAAAUGUCACAUGACAGAAUUUGAAACACUUGCGAAUGACACUUCACGUCAUUUGUAGACCUUAAAACAACAGUUUGUACAAUUUUUUUUUUUACAUUGAAAUAUCAGUUUCAAAAUCUCUCCGGCUUCCGUUUCUUUCUCUUGCCCCCCUUAAACGUCAAACACUGUAAGUUUGGUGAGUGGGUACAAAUUUCAGCUAAAAGUGCGGUCUGCUUUACGGCAGCAACAAAUGCACUUGAUGCACAGCCAGGAGUGGUCUGUAAUUACAACAGUGGUACAUUUGUGUGUGUGUGACGUCCUGGUCAUGUCUUACUUAAAAAUGCAAAUUCAUAAUUGAAAUGUAUUUCUAAAUAAUGAAUAGUUAUUUGAAUAGAAAACUGAUUUUUUUUAUUCAGUAUUGUUUGUUUGAAGUCUUGAUUUUAAGAUAUAACCAAGAUGUUUCUUUGUGGAAGUCACCAACUGGGUUGCAAUUGUAAAGAGCUUCCUGAACACUGUAUAUUGUUUUAUUGCUGUAUUAAUAUUAAAAUAUCUGUCACAAUAAAGACCUAACGAAUGAGUUUACUGUCA